GUGAAUUGCAGAAUUCAGUGAAUCAUCGAAUCUUUGAACGCACAUUGCGCCCAUUAGUAUUCUAGUGGGCAUGCCUGUUCGAGCGUCAUUUCAAACCCUUAAGCCCUGUUGCUUAGCGUUGGGAGCCUGCCGUAAAAGGCAGCUCCUCAAAGUCAUCGGCGGAGUUUCAGUAAUCUCUAAGCGUAGUAAUUCGUUCUCGCUUCUGAAGUGCUGUAGCCCCUGCCGCUAAACCCCCAAUUUUUCAGGUUUGACCUCGGAUCAGGUAGGAAUACCCGCUGAACUUAAGCAUAUCAAUAAGCGGAGGAAA
rnacentral:rRNA from 1 species